CAGCAGAGGGUCAGCCACGUGAGAGAAAACUCCCCUUAGAAACGAUGCAAUUGCAAACCAGUGAAUGUGCAUGAAGAAUUGGUAAGAGUGUUCUUCCAGAUAGAAACAAAUAAAAAAGGUGUCCAUUGAAGAUGAAGCAGGUUUUGAACAAAUGUGUCUCGGGGACUGUUUGUUAGCUAAUUUUUCAUCGGAGUUUCCAGCUGCACCAGCAACCUGAGUAAAGAAAAAAGAAGGUGAUUUUCAAGACACAUCCUUGCUGAAACAGAAUAAGCAAUGCAGUGUUUACUAUUUGUCUUUUGAGUCAAAAUACAAGUGAGAUUUCAGCAUUCUGUAUCAAGUGUUCUUUUGUACAUUUGAAAAUUAAGUUACAAAAGGAGAUGCAAACCGGGUUGAGGGAUGCUGUAUCACAAAGCUGUUAAGAAAUCUUUUCUCAACUGGAGACCUGCGAUUGUGAACCAACACUUUCUCUCUUUGAAGUCAGCAUCUGUGUCAUCCAUCCAGAGAGGAGUUGGUGCUCAUGCUUUAUGGAUUGCAAAGAUGAAGUAGCAGAUACGAAAGGACUAAAGUUAAAAUGGAGUAAAUACCUGAAAACAAAGUGAGCUGAGAAAAAUGCAAAAAACUUUAAAGGUUAAGCUAGGAGGUAGUCCCAAAAGCUAAAUAGGCUUAAAGUCCUUUUUUGUUUUGAAUCCUUACUACAUGUAGAAAUACCAUACAGACAGGCUUUGGUUAAGUGUGCGUGUUGAUGGAAGGAUUGUCAGAAGGAGAGCUGAAUACUCUGUUGUUUCUUUCUUUUGCUUUGUUUUGUUAUUUAGAGUGAGAUCAGAGGAAAUGUUAUCUUCUUAGCUUUUUCACUUCUGUAUAGGAUGUAUGUGUGUAGGUUUUGGUAGUGGCAGUGGGUGGCUGCAGAGGAGGGCUCUGUGAGGAGAGGCCGGGACCGCCUGGUGCUGGACACAGCCAGUUCCAGCUGGCUCCAAUGGACCCACCACAGGGUGUAGCUGAGCCCCUCAGCCAAGAUGGUGGCACCUCUGUGGAAACUUACUUUAAGAAAGGGUAAAAAAUGCUGUGCAGCAGAGUGUGAGAGAGAGGAGUGAGAAAAAAUGUGAGAGAAACAGCCCUACAGACCAAGGUGAGAGAAGGAGGAAGGGAAGGAAGUGCUCAGGGCGCUGGAGCAGGUGUUUUUCUGCAGCCUGUGGAGGACCACGUCAAAGCAGAUAUCCAUGCUGCUGCACUUGGAAGACCUCAUGCUGGAACAGGUGGAGAUGCCCUGAAAGAAGCUGCAGCCCAUAGAGAGCCCACGGUGGAGCAGGUUUUCCUGACAGGAACUGUGGCCUGUGGAGAGGAUCCCAUGCAGGAGCAGGUUUAUCCUGAAGGACUCAUGCUGGAGGAGGAGAGAAGUGUGAGGAGGAAGAAGCAGCAGAGAGGAUCUGUUGUGGGCUGACCGUAACCCCUGUUCCUAGAGGAGCUGGGAAUGAAGGAGUGAAGGAUUUUUUGUAUUAGCAUGUUAUUAACAGGACAAAGGUAGAGUUCAAAUAGUUUUCAAAACUUUUCAUAUUUGCCUUUAUUACUAGUGAAGUGUCACAGCCAUAAGCCUGAGAAAAAGGAGGUUGGGGAGAAGGUGUUUUAGCUUUCUGCUUUUGUUUUUCACAAUCCAACUCUAUUUUAAGUGGCAAUAAAAUAAUUUUCCCUAAGUUGAGUCUGUUUUGCCCAUGAUGGUAAUUGAUGAGUGAUCUCCCUGUCUUUAUCUUGACCCAUGUGCUUUUCCAUCUUAUUUUCUCCCACCACCCUGUUGAGGAGGAGGACUGCAAGAGCGGCUGGGUGGGUGUCUGGCUGCCAGCCAAGGUCAGCCCACCAUAACUUCCUUUACGGGCUUUUAAAGUAUUAUCAGUUUUAAAUGGCUGUCUGUGCUUUAUUGUCUUUCUACAUAUGGGCAGAUAUCAGAAUCUAUUAUGAAAGGCUAUAUAUGUAGAUUUCAGAGAUUUUUAUUAAGUAUUUAAAUAUUGAUAUGCUUUUUAUGACAAGGAUUGUAAUCAGAAUGGAGUAAGAAUGCUACCAGGCUGUCUGAAUUUGUC